GGCAGUGUGGCUUAGCAGGCAGAGUGCAGAACUUGCAUGCACGAGGCCCUGGGUUUGAUCCCCGGCACUGCCU
rnacentral:tRNA from 1 species